GACGAACGCUGGCGGCGUGCUUAAUACAUGCAAGUCAACUGAACUUAAGAUAGCAAUAUUUUAAGGGAGGUGGCGCACGGGUGAGUAACACGUAGGUAAUCUGCCUUUAGGUCUGACACAACCCCGAGAAAUCGGGGCUAAUAUCAGAUGAUGCAGCGGCUCGACAUCGAGACAGUUGUUAAACCUUCGGGGCUUAAAGAUGAGCCUGCGUCUGAUUAGCUGGUUGGCGGGGUAACGGCCCACCAAGGCAACGAUCAGUAGCUGGUCUGAGAGGAUGAUCAGCCACACUGGAACUGAGACACGGUCCAGACUCCUACGGGAGGCAGCAGUAAGGAAUAUUGCUCAAUGGCCGAAAGGCUGAAGCAGCAACGCCGCGUGGAGGAU
rnacentral:rRNA from 1 species